UACGUAGGGGGCUAGCGUUGUCCGGAAUCAUUGGGCGUAAAGAGCGCGUAGGCGGCUAGAUAAGUCCGGUGUGAAAGUCACAGGCUCAACCUGUGAAUGCCGCUGGAAACUGUCUGGCUAGAGUCCGGAAGGGGCGAGUGGAAUUCCUGGUGUAGCGGUGAAAUGCGCAGAUAUCAGGAAGAACACCCGUGGCGAAAGCGGCUCUCUGGAACGGUACUGACGCUGAGACGCGAAAGCGUGGGGAGCGAACAGG
rnacentral:rRNA from 1 species